CUUUUGUAACAACCAUAGUUGUUUCCUGUCUAGGGAUAACAUGCGUUAGUGCUAGCCACCUACUUCUUAGCACCGGGAAUAAAACCGGGAGGGGUUCGAAUCCCCUCUGCAAGAUGCGUGGCCAUGGAAUUCCAACCUCCAUGACUGGCGCAAGGUUCCCUUCUCUUGUCGAUUGCUAGCUUAGGAGGAGCCAUAAGAACCCAUCCGCAAUCUCCCCCUGGGGAUAAUGGUCAAUUUCAUCGAUCGAGGGAAUCGAUGGAAACAUUCCCUGGCAAGAGGGGUAAUAGACUUGAGUUACAAAGGACAAGAAGGCACAGAUUGUGGAAGAUCUUCCGAUGCUAGGCGGAAGACACCACUGGGCGGAUCCCACGGGGGUCCGUCCUGCGACAGUGACCGACGCGACGCUAUACCGGAAAGGCCCCUCGGGGUGUUAGAAAGUGUAGGAUGUGUACAGAGCAGUGCUUGGAAAGGGUUGUGCUUCGGGCAAACACCUAAAAAAGGUUUUCCCCCGAACCCCCUUUCCAAAAAAGAUGGAACGGAACUGGAACCUAACUUUGGUGAUUAUCUUCAGUGGUUAGGUUCCAAGAACUAUAGUAUAACUCAUUAGCUACACCCCCGCCCUCAGGGUGAAGGUGUUCCCCCCGAGACCCCCCUUCUGGUUUUGGAUUACGAGUUUCCAAGGGACCGGAGCCGACUUGGGAUUAUAAAAGAGUUAUACUUGUUCUGCCCGACCUUCGGGAUAGUGAAUCCUUCCUGCCAGGAAGGCUUCCCUCUCCCUUUGGUCUCCAGGGAUAAGAAGUUCCAUCACUCUGCUCUGCUUCCCGGAAAUCCGGUUAAGAAGAAUGCAUAUUCUACACUUUCCGGGAAGCAGAGCAGAGAGAACAGAGCCCUCGCCCCGGAGGGGCUAAUUCUUGUAGUGAAGAGAUAAAGAAACAUAGAACUUGUGUAUUCCACCAGAGAUGCUCUGUUUUCCACCAGAGAAGCUAUGUUUCUUGUCCUUACAGUGGCAUCCCUAAGGGAUGUCUUACUACCCUUCGAGUCCGAUCUCAGGGUAGCGCUUAGGCGGGGGCCCCAUACCCAUGGGGUUUAGUAGUAGAUUUAUCGAGGGAUUUACCUCGAUCAAUCGGGGUGGCAUCCCAGAGGGAUGGUCUUGUCUUGUAUUAAUGGGAAUUCCUCCCUUUGGUCGGAUACUUAGAUCAUCUAUUUUAGUGGUGCCUUUGGUCACCUCUAAAAUUAUAGGAUUGGCAGGUGAAAUAAGAAUAAAGGAAUUUCUCUCGAAACCCGGUUGGGUUUCUAGCUCGAUUUACUAGGCGAUAUGAGGGUUUUCCAACUCGAGGUACAAACCCCUUAAGACCUAUCCGAACUCUCGAUAGAGAGCCCUCUAGAACAUGGCCCAUUUUCCUGCAAACAACCGUUCCUAAAAUCCAUUUAACAACCAACAGGCAGUGGGAAUCAAGAAAAGCCGAUCAAUCGACUAUUUGAGGCCUUACGGAUCUGUUUUGCAGUCCGGAUGGUCCUGGAGUAAUGACUUAGAGUGAUCUGUGAACCCUUUUGUAACAACCAUAGUUGUUUCCUGUCUAGGGAUAACAUGCGUUAGUGCUAGCCACCUACUUCUUAGCACCGGGAAUAAAACCGGGAGGGGUUCGAAUCCCCUCUGCAAGAUGCGUGGCCAUGGAAUUCCAACCUCCAUGACUGGCGCAAGGUUCCCUUCUCUUGUCGAUUGCUAGCUUAGGAGGAGCCAUAAGAACCCAUCCGCAAUCUCCCCCUGGGGAUAAUGGUCAAUUUCAUCGAUCGAGGGAAUCGAUGGAAACAUUCCCUGGCAAGAGGGGUAAUAGACUUGAGUUACAAAGGACAAGAAGGCACAGAUUGUGGAAGAUCUUCCGAUGCUAGGCGGAAGACACCACUGGGCGGAUCCCACGGGGGUCCGUCCUGCGACAGUGACCGACGCGACGCUAUACCGGAAAGGCCCCUCGGGGUGUUAGAAAGUGUAGGAUGUGUACAGAGCAGUGCUUGGAAAGGGUUGUGCUUCGGGCAAACACCUAAAAAAGGUUUUCCCCCGAACCCCCUUUCCAAAAAAGAUGGAACGGAACUGGAACCUAACUUUGGUGAU
rnacentral:lncRNA from 1 species